rnacentral:rRNA from 1 species
UGGGGAAUAUUGUACACUGGGCGCAAGCCUGAUCCAGCCAUGCCGCGUGAGUGAUGAAGGCCCUAGGGUUGUAAAGCUCUUUCACCGGUGAAGAUAAUGACGGUAACCGGAGAAGAAGCCCCGGCUAACUUCGUGCCAGCAGCCGCGGUAAUACGAAGGGGGCUAGCGUUGUUCGGAUUUACUGGGCGUAAAGCGCACGUCGGCGGUCUUUUAAGUCAGGGGUGAAAUCCCGGGGCUAAACCCCGGAACUGCCUUUGAUACUGGAAGUCGUGAGUAUGGUAGAGGUGAGUGGAAUUCCGAGUGUAGAGGUGAAAUUCGUAGAUAUUCGGAGGAACACAAGGGGCGAAGGGGGCUCACUGGAACAUUACUGACGCUGAGGUGCGAAAGCGUGGGGAGCAAAGAGG